GUCCCAGUAGUCGCUUAGCCAUAAGGUCAUGCCUAGAAAAAGUCGACGUGCCAGCCUUACUUGAUAAUGUGAACACAUGCACAGAGAAGACUAAUCUCCUUGAGAUAAUUGUCAAGACUGGUUUGGACCUUAUACUUCCAUUGCGAUCGAAAACUGUUCAUCUUAACGAUCCUCCGUGGUUUAGCUCAACCUUGAAAAACCUCAUAAAAAUACGCCAAAGAGCACUCACCAAGGGAG